AGCGAACGCUGGCGGCAGGCUUAACACAUGCAAGUCGAGCGGGCGUAGCAAUACGUCAGCGGCAGACGGGUGAGUAACACGUGGGAACGUACCUUUUGGUUCGGAACAACACAGGGAAACUUGUGCUAAUACCGAAUAAGCCCUUACGGGGAAAGAUUUAUCGCCGAAAGAUCGGCCCGCGUCUGAUUAGCUUGUUGGUGAGGUAACGGCUCACCAAGGCGACGAUCAGUAGCUGGCUGAGAGGAUGAUCAGCCACACUGGGACUGAGACACGGCCCAGACUCCUACGGGAGGCAGCAGUGGGGAAUAUUGGACAAUGGGGGCAACCCUGAUCCAGCCAUGCCGCGUGAGUGAUGAAGGCCCUAGGGUUGUAAAGCUCUUUUGUGCGGGAAGAUAAUGACGGUACCGCAAGAAUAAGCCCCGGCUAACUUCGUGCCAGCAGCCGCGGUAAU
rnacentral:rRNA from 1 species